UGAGACACGGUCCAGAUUCCUACGGGAGGCAGCAGUGGGGAAUUUUGCGCAAUGAGCGAAAGCCUGACGCAGCAAUACCGCGUGAGUGAAGAAGGCCUUUGGGUCGUAAAGCUCUUUUCUGAAGGAAGAUAGUGACGGUACUUCAGGAAUAAGCACCGGCUAACUCCGUGCCAGCAGCCGCGGUAAUACGGAGGGUGCAAGCGUUGUUCGGAUUUACUGGGCGUAAAGGGCGCGUAGGCGGCAUAGCAAGUUAAGGGUGAAAUCCCGGGGCUCAACUCCGGAACUGCUCUUAAAACUGCUAAGCUAGAGAUAGUCAGAGGCGGGUGGAAUUCCUAGUGUAGAGGUGAAAUUCGUACAUAUUAGGAGGAACACCGGUGGCGAAGGCGGCCCGCUGGGACUUAUCUGACGCUAAGGCGCGAAAGCGUGGGGAGCAAACGGGAUUAGAUACCCCGGUAGUCCACGCCGUAAACGAUGAAUACCGGCUGUUUGAGAAAUCGACCUCUCAAGUGGCGCAGCUAACGCGUUGAGUAUUCCGCCUGGGGAGUACGGUCGCAAGACUAAAACUCAAAGGAAUUGACGGGGGCCCGCACAAGCGGUGGAGCAUGUGGUUUAAUUCGACGCAACGCGAAGAACCUUACCCGGGUUUGACAUCCUCGGACCGCCAUAGAGAUAUGGUUUCCUCUUCGGAGGCCGAGUGACAGGUGCUGCAUGGCUCUCGUCAGCUCGUGUCGUGAGAUGUUGGGUUAAGUCCCGCAACGAGCGCAACCCUUGUCCUUAGUUGCCAGCACAUAAUGGUGGGAACUCUAAGGAGACUGCCGGUGUUAAGCCGGAGGAAGGUGGGGAUGACGUCAAGUCCUCAUGGCCUUUAUAUCCAGGGCUACACACGUGCUACAAUGGCACCUACAAAGAGCAGCGAGACCGCAAGGUGGAGCGAAUCUCAAAAAAGGUGUCUCAGUCCGGAUUACAGUCUGCAACUCGACUGUAUGAAGUUGGAAUCGCUAGUAAUCGUAUCAGCGUGCUACGGUGAAUACGUUCCCGGGCCUUGUACACACCGCCCGUCACACCAUGGGAGUUGACAUUGGCAGAAUACAUUGAGCUAACCUUCGGGAGGCAGGUGUGCAAGCUAGUGUUGAUGACUGGGGUGAAGUCGUAACAAGGUAGCAGUAGGAGAACCUGCGGCUG
rnacentral:rRNA from 1 species